rnacentral:rRNA from 1 species
UACGAAGGGGGCUAGCGUUGCUCGGAAUCACUGGGCGUAAAGGGUGCGUAGGCGGGUCUUUAAGUCAGGGGUGAAAUCCUGGAGCUCAACUCCAGAACUGCCUUUGAUACUGAGGAUCUUGAGUUCGGGAGAGGUGAGUGGAACUGCGAGUGUAGAGGUGAAAUUCGUAGAUAUUCGCAAGAACACCAGUGGCGAAGGCGGGUCUCUGGGCCGUUACUGACGCUGAGGAGCGAAAGCGUGGGAGCGAACGAGGA